AGCUUUGUUCAGUGGCAGUAUCGUGCCAAUGAGGUUUAUCCGAGGCGCGAUUAUUGCUAAUUGAAAGAUGUUAAAUUUUUGUUAUCAAUUGAGAUAAUCAUGUGGCUUUUCCCUUCAUUCUAUUGAUGUGGUAUGUUAUGUUAAUUUUUGUAUGUUGAACCACCCUUGCAUUCCAG
rnacentral:snRNA from 1 species